AUUGAACGCUGGCGGCAGGCCUAACACAUGCAAGUCGAGCGGAUGAAGGGAGCUUGCUCCUGGAUUCAGCGGCGGACGGGUGAGUAAUGCCUAGGAAUCUGCCUGGUAGUGGGGGAUAACGUCCGGAAACGGGCGCUAAUACCGCAUACGUCCUGAGGGAGAAAGUGGGGGAUCUUCGGACCUCACGCUAUCAGAUGAGCCUAGGUCGGAUUAGCUAGUUGGUGGGGUAAAGGCCUACCAAGGCGACGAUCCGUAACUGGUCUGAGAGGAUGAUCAGUCACACUGGAACUGAGACACGGUCCAGACUCCUACGGGAGGCAGCAGUGGGGAAUAUUGGACAAUGGGCGAAAGCCUGAUCCAGCCAUGCCGCGUGUGUGAAGAAGGUCUGCGGAUUGUAAAGCACUUUAAGUUGGAGGAAGGGCAGUAAGUUAAUACCUUGCUGUUUUGACGUUACCAACAGAAUAAGCACCGGCUAACUUCGUG
rnacentral:rRNA from 1 species